rnacentral:other from 1 species
GUUCUACUGCGGCGUUGGUGACUGCCAAUAUUGUUUUUUGAUCUAUGUCUGUUUGAAAAUGGGAACCAAAUGGUUUCGUGGCAGUAAACCGGGCUUGUACCCGGAAACUUAAAACGAAAACGAUCGGUACCCACCUGGUUAAUCCCAGGUCAUAAACUGAGGUAAGACGGCGUUGCGGGGAAUCU